rnacentral:lncRNA from 1 species
AACUAGACAGUGUCUGCAAAGCAAGACUGUAUUAAGACAGAAGAGAGUUUUCUAAACUCCAAAAGCAUCGUUCUUCUAAUAAGAACCAAGUGUGGCUGACUCAGAUAAUGGAGCUUUUAUGUAAGUCACAGAAUACAGAAGGAGAAGGAGAGGGUAUAAUAAAAUGCAAGUGCCCUUUUUCCCAGUAAUAAGAGGAAGGUCAUAGGCUCUCUAUGCUGGCAAAAUAAUCUGUAGAGAAGGUAGAGAUGAGAACAAAUGUUGACUUGAGUUCUGUAGCUCCCCAUUGAGCUAAUUCUCCUGAAGUGAGAUUGAGGAAAAAAAUCUAGGUAAGUUAGGAACAGUCUGAGAACUGCAGUGCUGAUGUCCCUCAGAGAAGGUCUCUUUUCAGACCAGCUGCUGAGGGAAGGGCCUAGAGAGAGUCUUAAACCAUCUGCCAGUUCCUUAAGAACCCUGUGAGCUUACACAAAUGUGCCAUGUGCUUCAGGGUGGGUAGGUACAUUAAUGCUGGGAGGCCUGUGAUUUGUACCAGCAAGGCACCAAGGUGAACACAUUACCUGCUCCUUGCAUUUGGACUUCAUUUUGAGGGGAAAAGAAAUAUCUUGAGAAUCAAAAAACAAUCUUGACCUUUCAAUUGAAUAUUUACCCAAAGAAUCUAUUUUUAAACUGGAAGGAAUCAGGAUACCUUUAAUUGUCAAAUCUAAGUGUGUCUCAGCAUAUCAGUCAGGGUUUGAUCAGGACUUAUGAAAUUGUGGGAGUAAUCUGACAAGGCUUUUUCGUUUAUUCAAGUGGUGGCUCAAAGUGACUAUUGGCCAGCUACUCUGGCAAUAAAGAGGGAGAUCAGAACAUAAAGUUUCAAAGAGCAAAGACAAACUGGAAUCUCCAAGAACCAGUUGGAGGUCCUGAGGACAAAGUAGAACCUGCAUCUCUCUGUCCCAUUUCCAGCGUUCAUGACGUGGAGGGCCUGUAGAAGGAGCUGGUGCCUUUGCCAUAAAGGUUCAAACACAUCCAGCCUAGCACUUGGAGGAGUAGGAGGAGGAUAUUUGGCAGGAGAUGGAGGUGCUGAGUCCUGGCUGAUAUUCCCAUCAACAAGUUGGCCACCUCCUUGCCUGCCACCACAGCGGAGGAGCCCAGGCCACUGGACAACGCCCUCUGCAUGGGCACAGAUGGCUCGGAGAUGCUGGCUGAGAUCCUGGAGCUGCACUAGAUCAAGGUGGACACCAUCCUGGUGAAGACUAUUGAGACCACGAUGGCAGG